rnacentral:rRNA from 1 species
AUGUACCUAAAAAUUCCUUUCUUGAUAGACGUAGCAAAGCACAUCAUUGUUGUUUGUUCUGGAGCUAAAGCACAGAGGAAGUUGUCUUGCAUGAUAAAAUAUCACACCAACCGACAGUGGAUUUUAGAUUUUAAGUUGUCUUUUUUUGUGAUGCUGCUGCCGGUUCAUCUUUUGUUCCCAUUGGCAACUUCUGAAAAAAUCUGCUUAUGCUUUACUUUAUGCCCCCUUAUUCACCCUCUUUCUCCAUCAUUGUCUCCCCUUUUCCUAUACCUAGUCUCUUUCUUCAAGUGGAAUUAUUUAUUAAGAGCCGAGACAGAUGAAAUUGCGUAUCUGUUAAGUUGUCUAUUUGUUGUUUGCUUUUAUUUGAUGGGGGUCGCAGCUGCUGAUCUCCAGUUGUCCACAGGCUACACCUUGGUUGAUGGUAACAUAUGCACUUUUAAACUGUAA